CUGGUGUAGCUCAGUUGGUAGAGCAACUGCCUUGUAAGCAGUAGGUCGGCGGUUCGACUCCGUUCACCAGCUC
rnacentral:tRNA from 1 species